CUCUCCACGUUUUAGGGUUCACUCAUUCAUUCUCUUUUUUUUGCAAGUCAAAGAAUUUUCUCCUAAUGCGAGACGAACAAACGCCAAACUCUCAUUCUCUUUUGUCUUCCCCGACAAAUUUCAAAGUCCAAGAGAGAAAUGUGACUUCUACGGCUACAAUUGUGGUGGCGAAGGCAUAACUUCAAAAAAAGUUGGAACCCUAAAAAUUUCUUGAAUGUUUGAGAAGGUAGAUUUGGAAGGGAAAACCAACCACGAUUUGGAAGGGAACGGAGGCAGUGGCGGUGAUGGAGAUUAUCGCGGUGGCGGAGAAAGACGCGGAGUUGAGGAAAUCGGCGUUCAAGCCAAACUCACCUGCUUGCAAGGCCGUUGUGGAUCAAGUGGUGAAGAUAAUCGAGAAAGCGGAUUCGAAGCUUCUGGUUCCUCUUGGUUUGUAUUUAAUCCUUAAGUACAUCUCUGUACCAUCUGGCCUUGUGCAACUACUCUGCCUCUAUGGAUAUUCCCUAUUUGUCUUUAUUUCGACUCUGGUGAGUUACUGCUCUUCAAAUUUUCUUUCAAGAAAUUAUUAGGUUAUCUUGAACUAUAUGAUCUUUAAAUAUUCUCUAUAUAAUAUGUAAUCAAGUGUAAUUAUUAUUUCCUUGUAAAUUGUAUGAUGAAGUUAAUGAUUUUACAGGCUUAACAUCAAUAUGCAUAAUAAAUAAAUUACAUCACAAGUGUCUCAAUACUAACCAAUAGCUAUAACAAGGUUGACCAGUGCAGUUUUCCAUAUAUGAAGGUAUUGCUUAAAAAACAUAUAAAACACUAGAUACACAUCACCCCAUUAUCAAAGACUUAAGUGUAAGUUGGCAUUGUUAGUAUGGAUUUUGUUGAUUAACAGCAGUUCCUAUAUUUUUUAUUUUUAUCAAGUUUUCUGAUCGUUUGCACACAAAACAUGUACACUUUCGUCGUAGUGUGAUGGUAAGAAAGGGAAGAAUUGAGAGCCACAUUUGAGAGAAGAUGUCAAAUUGCAAUUUUUGUUCUGGGUGGGUUGUGAGCAUCUUUAAAUCAAUAUAGAUCAAUGUAAAACACGAUAAAAUGAUAUUUUACUCCCUGUAGAAACGUGAAACACUUUUAGAGAGGUUGUGGGUAUCUUCAAUCAGUAUUAUCUUUUUUUGUGCAAGUAUUCAAUUAUAAAAGAGUUGUUGUUGAGUCUACUUAAUUGGCAAUUCUUGUUGAUAAACUGGUGUUCCCUUCCAAGUCACAUAAUAAGGGAAGUGGAAAAGAGACAAAAUAUUCUAAAUUAAUAUUCUGAAUCACAUAAAUCACUUUAUGAUGAGAUUCAGAUACUUCAGGGUAGACUUGAUCGAAACCCUGAAGUUACUCGGUUUGCUGUGGAGAGAGAUUCUUUUGACUAAAGUGUCUUCUUUGAGGGAACAGUUGCUUCAGUACCAUGGAAGAAACUCGAUACAGGGUAAUUCAAAUCAUGAUAUUGAACCUCAGGUCAGUCUUUAAUUACCUGAAGCAG